CGAACGGGUGAGUAAUGCGUGACCAACCUGCCCCAUGCUCCAGAAUAGCUCUUGGAAACGGGUGGUAAUGCUGGAUGCUCCAACUUGACGCAUGUCUUGUUGGGAAAGUGUUUAGUGGCAUGGGAUGGGGUCGCGUCCUAUCAGCUUGUAGGCGGGGUAAUGGCCCACCUAGGCUUCGACGGGUAGCCGGCCUGAGAGGGCGGACGGCCACAUUGGGACUGAGAUACGGCCCAGACUCCUACGGGAGGCAGCAGCC
rnacentral:rRNA from 1 species